rnacentral:tRNA from 1 species
GGUAGCUCAGUGGUAGAGUACAUGCUUAGCAUGCAUGAGACCUUGGUUCAAUCUCUAGUACCA